rnacentral:rRNA from 1 species
GACGAACGCUGGCGGCGUGCUUAACACAUGCAAGUCGAACGGAAAGGCCCUGCUUGCAGGGUACUCGAGUGGCGAACGGGUGAGUAACACGUGGGUGAUCUGCCCUGCACUUCGGGAUAAGCCUGGGAAACUGGGUCUAAUACCGGAUAGGAGCCAUUUUUAGUGUGAUGGUUGGAAAGUUUUUUCGGUGUAGGAUGAGCUCGCGGCCUAUCAGCUUGUUGGUGGGGUAAUGGCCUACCAAGGCGGCGACGGGUAGCCGGCCUGAGAGGGUGGACGGCCACAUUGGGACUGAGAUACGGCCCAGACUCCUACGGGAGGCAGCAGUGGGGAAUAUUGCACAAUGGGCGCGAGCCUGAUGCAGAGACGCCGCGGGGGGGAUGACGGCCUUCGGGUUGUAAACUCCUUUCGCUAGGGACGAAGCUUUUUGUGACGGUACCUAGAUAAGAAGCACCGGCUAACUACGUG